rnacentral:rRNA from 1 species
UCCGUAGGUGAACCUGCGGAAGGAUCAUUACCGAGUGCGGGCCCUCUGGGUCCAACCUCCCAUCCGUGUCUAUCUGUACCCUGUUGCUUCGGCGUGGCCACGGCCCGCCGGAGACUAACAUUUGAACGCUGUCUGAAGUUUGCAGUCUGAGUUUUUAGUUAAACAAUCGUUAAAACUUUCAACAACGGAUCUCUUGGUUCCGGCAUCGAUGAAGAACGCAGCGAAAUGCGAUAAUUAAUGUGAAUUGCAGAAUUCAGUGAAUCAUCGAGUCUUUGAACGCACAUUGCGCCCCCUGGUAUUCCGGGGGGCAUGCCUGUCCGAGCGUCAUUGCUGCCCUCAAGCACGGCUUGUGUGUUGGGCUUCCGUCCCUGGCAACGGGGACGGGCCCAAAAGGCAGUGGCGGCACCAUGUCUGGUCCUCGAGCGUAUGGGGCUUUGUCACCCGCUCCCGUAGGUCCAGCUGGCAGCUAGCCUCGCAACCCAAUCUUUUUAACCAGGUUGAC